rnacentral:rRNA from 1 species
GACGAACGCUGGCGGCGUGCUUAACACAUGCAAGUCGAACGGAAAGGCCCUGCUUUUGUGGGGUGCUCGAGUGGCGAACGGGUGAGUAACACGUGAGUAACCUGCCCUUGACUUUGGGAUAACUUCAGGAAACUGGGGCUAAUACCGGAUAGGAGCUCCUGCUGCAUGGUGGGGGUUGGAAAGUUUCGGCGGGUGGGGAUGGACUCGCGGCUUAUCAGCUUGUUGGUGGGGGAGUGGCUUACCAAGGCUUUGACGGGUAGCCGGCCUGAGAGGGUGACCGGCCACCUUGGGACUGCGAGACGGCCCAGACUCCUACGGUAGGCAGCAGUGGGGAAUAUUGCACAAUGGGCGCAAGCCUGAUGCAGCAACGCCGCGUGCGGGAUGACGGCCUUCGGGUUGUAAACCGCUUUCGCCUGUGACGAAGCGUGAGUGACGGUAAUGGGUAAAGAAGCACCGGCUAACUACGUG